rnacentral:rRNA from 1 species
UGGGGAAUAUUGGACAAUGGGCGCAAGCCUGAUCCAGCAAUGCCGCGUGUGUGAAGAAGGCCUUCGGGUUGUAAAGCACUUUUAUCAGGAGCGAAACGCUGUCGGCUAAUACCCGGCGGAACUGACGGUACCUGAGGAAUAAGCACCGGCUAACUUCGUGCCAGCAGCCGCGGUAAUACGAAGGGUGCAAGCGUUAAUCGGAAUUACUGGGCGUAAAGCGUGCGUAGGCGGUUUCUUAAGUCUGCUGUGAAAUCCCCGGGCUCAACCUGGGAAUGGCAGUGGAUACUGGGAGGCUAGAGUGUGUCAGAGGGUGGUGGAAUUCCCGGUGUAGCGGUGAAAUGCGUAGAGAUCGGGAGGAACAUCAGUGGCGAAGGCGGCCACCUGGGGACAACACUGACGCUGAGGCACGAAAGCGUGGGGAGCAAACAGGAUUAGAUACCCUGGUAGUCCACGCCCCUAAAACGAUGCGAACUGGAUGUUGGUCUCAACUCGGAGAUCAGUGUCGAAGCUAACGCGUUAAGUUCGCCGCCUGGGGAGUACGGUCGCAAGACU